ACUACGGGUGGCAGCAGUGAGGAAUAUUGGUCAAUGGGCGAGAGCCUGAACCAGCCAAGUCGCGUGAGGGAAGACGGUCCUAUGGAUUGUAAACCUCUUUUGUCGGGGAGCAAAAAGGCCUCGUGAGGCCACAAGUGAGAGGACCCGAAGAAAAAGCAGCGGCGAACUCCGUGCCAGCAGCCGCGGUAAUCCGGAGGAUGCGAGCUUUAUCCGGAUUUAUUGGGUUUAAAGGGUGCGCAGGAGGACUGGUAAGUCAGCGGUAAAAUCGAGAGGCUCAACCUCUUUCCGCCGUUGAAACUGUCGGUCUUGAGUGGGCGAGACGUAUGCGGCAUGCGUGGUGUCGCGGUGAAAUGCAUAGAUAUCACGCAGAACUCCGAUUGCGAAGGCAGCAUACCGGCGCCCGACUGACGCUGAGGCACGAAAGCGUGGGUAUCGAACAGGAUUAGAUACCCCAGUAGUC
rnacentral:rRNA from 1 species